AAAUUGAAGAGUUUGAUCAUGGCUCAGAUUGAACGCUGGCGGCAGGCCUAACACAUGCAAGUCGAACGGUAACAGGAAGCAGCUUGCUGCUUCGCUGACGAGUGGCGGACGGGUGAGUAAUGUCUGGGAAACUGCCUGAUGGAGGGGGAUAACUACUGGAAACGGUGGCUAAUACCGCAUAACGUCGCAAGACCAAAGAGGGGGACCUUCGGGCCUCUUGCCAUCAGAUGUGCCCAGAUGGGAUUAGCUUGUUGGUGAGGUAACGGCUCACCAAGGCGACGAUCCCUAGCUGGUCUGAGAGGAUGACCAGCCACACUGGAACUGAGACACGGUCCAGACUCCUACGGGAGGCAGCAGUGGGGAAUAUUGCACAAUGGGCGCAAGCCUGAUGCAGCCAUGCCGCGUGUAUGAAGAAGGCCUUCGGGUUGUAAAGUACUUUCAGCGGGGAGGAAGGUGUUGCGGUUAAUAACCGCAGCAAUUGACGUUACCCGCAGAAGAAGCACCGGCUAACUCCGUGCCAGCAGCCGCGGUAAUACGGAGGGUGCAAGCGUUAAUCGGAAUUACUGGGCGUAAAGCGCACGCAGGCGGUCUGUCAAGUCGGAUGUGAAAUCCCCGGGCUCAACCUGGGAACUGCAUUC
rnacentral:rRNA from 1 species